UAUGGCUGGAUUUUGGAUGUUCUUAAUAGCCUGUCAAUAUCAGAAAUUUGCGGGCACGGAUGCCCGCAAAAGGAGCAACUGAGCCAUGGAUGGCGAAUUUGCUCCGGUUUCGUCCCCAUCCGGCAACGUCCCACAGGGUAUUUAGAACAUCCAAAUCCCAGACAU
rfam:Clostridiales bacterium 44_9 Ley3_66761_scaffold_3365, whole genome shotgun sequence.